rnacentral:lncRNA from 1 species
CCUGGUUAGGUAAAGUUGUACCCAAUUUCACCGAAACAUUAAUAUAUGUACUAAUAUUCUUUGGUGGCUCUUAUAUCAGGAGUCUGCAAACUGGUACUUUUUUUAAAUGUGACAAAAAAAAAUGUUUCAUAUAGUAUAUGAAUGAUUGGUGGUGUAAAUACGAAAUAUACUUAACAUUACAGCUGUGCUGCAUUUUAAAAUCUAAUGACCGGCAACUUAUUGCAUUGUCAUAAGACGUGCGUUUCUGUAUAAACUUGAACACAUGUAUACUCGCGACCACUCGUUUUUAAAAUCCAAAAAGGAAAACAAUUGAAGAUGUCCAAUAUAGAAACAUGGCAUAUCUUUAUAAAUGCAACAUGCUGGUUCUUUCUAAAAAUCGCCUUUAAUCGUCUUAUACUCCCGUUUAUGAACUUCCAACAG